UACUGGAUAUGAGCCCCUAUCGCAUGGUGGGGGUUGGAAAGAUUUCUUGGUCUGGGAUGGGCUCGCGGCCUAUCAGCUUGUUGGUGAGGUAAUGGCUCACCAAGGCGUCGACGGGUAGCCGGCCUGAGAGGGUGACCGGCCACACUGGGACUGAGACACGGCCCAGACUCCUACGGGAGGCAGCAGUGGGGAAUAUUGCACAAUGGGCGAAAGCCUGAUGCAGCAACGCCGCGUGAGGGAUGACGGCCUUCGGGUUGUAAACCUCUUUUAGCAGGGAAGAAGCGAAAGUGACGGUACCUGCAGAAAAAGCGCCGGCUAACUACGUGCCAGCAGCCGCGGUAAUACGUAGGGCGCAAGCGUUAUCCGGAAUUAUUGGGCGUAAAGAGCUCGUAGGCGGUUUGUCGCGUCUGCUGUGAAAUCCCGAGGCUCAACCUCGGGCCUGCAGUGGGUACGGGCAGACUAGAGUGCGGUAGGGGAGAUUGGAAUUCCUGGUGUAGCGGUGGAAUGCGCAGAUAUCAGGAGGAACACCGAUGGCGAAGGCAGAUCUCUGGGCCGUAACUGACGCUGAGGAGCGAAAGGGUGGGGAGCAAACAGGCUUAGAUACCCUGGUAGUCCACCCCGUAAACGUUGGGAACUAGUUGUGGGGACCAUUCCACGGUUUCCGUGACGCAGCUAACGCAUUAAGUUCCCCGCCUGGGGAGUACGGCCGCAAGGCUAAAACUCAAAGGAAUUGACGGGGACCCGCACAAGCGGCGGAGCAUGCGGAUUAAUUCGAUGC
rnacentral:rRNA from 1 species